GAGGCAUAAGCAACCAUUUUUCCAUACUACAUCAGUACACAACCCAACCCUGCCUUGAGGUAUCGCUGUAAAUUACAAAUCGAUCCAAACCUUCGGUAUCGUUAAUACAGGAGCUGAAACUAGUCUCUACUUGGGUUCUUGAAAAUAUUUUUCACAUUUUUCUGUCCACUGAAACUUCACAUCCUUUCUUAUCAACUGAGUCAUCCGG
rnacentral:lncRNA from 1 species